UACGUAGGGUGCAAGCGUUGUCCGGAAUUAUUGGGCGUAAAGAGCUCGUAGGCGGUUUGUCGCGUCUGCUGUGAAAACGCGGGGCUCAACUCCGCGCCUGCAGUGGGUACGGGCAGACUAGAGUGCAGUAGGGGAGACUGGGAAUUCCUGGUGUAGCGGUGGAAUGCGCAGAUAUCAGGAGGAACACCGGUGGCGAAGGCGGGUCUCUGGGCUGUAACUGACGCUGAGGAGCGAAAGCGUGGGUAGCGAACAGG
rnacentral:rRNA from 1 species